rnacentral:misc_RNA from 1 species
GUCAAGCAGAUCAUUACCAGCAACAAGAUUAAUCAACGUUGGACAAAAUGGAGUUGGUAGAUAUGUGUGCCAACUUGCUAGAAUAACUCUAAGAUUCUGCAAACACCAAGCUAGUAGCAGAGGCAUGAGUAAAUGGAAAUUCUCACAAGACUCGUGUCUCUAAAAUGGACAUGGAUGAUAUCUGCAAAUGGAUAGAGCUAGCCAGAACUAGAUCAGGAGUUGACAUAGUGAGAAAAACUAAAAACUUUCAAACUCACAGCCCCAGUAUACAAGGGGUGUGGCAUCCAUUCUUGUUCAAAGACCCAUCUGUCAAUCUGAAGACUUUUCCUGAUUCAGAAUAUGGAAGAUUUGAAGUGAAUGAAGUGACUGCCACAGAAAGAAUACUACAGCUAGCAGAGAGAAUGAAACAGUUAGAACUUGAAAAGGGGGAGGGGAAAAGUGAAAAAGAUGGCGAAUCUGUGUGAUUUAAAAUGAAAAUUUCUGAUUAAACAAAGGGUGUGAAUGACAAAAGGUUUAUGCCUUUCCUGUGAAAAUAUAUACUAAUACAUGUACAUAAAUAAAAGGUUAUGAAUUA